rnacentral:rRNA from 1 species
CGCGGCCUAUCAGCUUGUUGGUGGGGUAAUGGCCUACCAAGGCGACGACGGGUAGCCGGCCUGAGAGGGUGUCCGGCCACACUGGGACUGAGAUACGGCCCAGACUCCUACGGGAGGCAGCAGUGGGGAAUAUUGCACAAUGGGCGCAAGCCUGAUGCAGCGACGCCGCGUGGGGGAUGACGGCCUUCGGGUUGUAAACCUCUUUCAGUAGGGACGAAGCGUAAGUGACGGUACCUACAGAAGAAGCACCGGCCAACUACGUGCCAGCAGCCGCGGUAAUACGUAGGGUGCGAGCGUUGUCCGGAAUUACUGGGCGUAAAGAGCUCGUAGGUGGUUUGUCGCGUUGUUCGUGAAAUCUCACAACUCAAUUGUGAGCGUGCGGGCGAUACGGGCAGACUGGAGUACUGCAGGGGAGACUGGAAUUCCUGGUGCAGCGGUGGAAUGCGCAGAUAUCAGGAGGAACACCGGUGGCGAAGGCGGGUCUCUGGGCAGUAACUGACGCUGAGGAGCGAAAGCGUGGGGAGCGAACAGGAUUAGAUACCCUGGUAGUCCACGCCGUAAACGGUGGGUACUAGGUGUGGGUUUCCUUCCUUGGGAUCCGUGCCGUAGCUAACGCAUUAAGUACCCCGCCUGGGGA